GAUACAUUAUUUCAACAUAUGGACCACAUUUGGCUAAUGUACGGCACAGUCAGCACUGGCUAACCAGGAUGUAAGCCUAAACUGGCCCACAUAUAAUGCAGCAAAUGUGGCCCAGAUAUCUUAAAACAUAUCUGGACCAGUUUUGGCAAAGAUGACAGAGUGUAAUCACUGGCGAUUCUGAAUGUGAACUCCAACUGUACUCCAUUACUCCAACUUUGGACCAUAUUUGGCAUAUGUCCAAUGUUGGUAAAUAUUUGGUACAGUUGACACAGCAAAUAUGCUCUAAAUAUCAUAAAAAAUUAGGCUACUUCUGGCUUUGUAUGGAGCACCUUUUAAAACUGGUUAAUUUAAAUGUAUAGCUAAAAAUGGAGCUGAAAAUAUAUCAUUAAUACUUUUCAGGGAUAUUUGAUGUAGGAUGCAACACUUAAUUGUACAGGCUAAUCUGGAGAAGGCAGAUAUUUCAGGUUUUUUUUAACAUAACUUUAUUGGUGUGUUUGUGUGUACAGGUAUAUGUGGUUUGUGAGGACACAAAUAUCUAUAAUGACAUUUGCAUUACAACCAAAUGGCUUAAAAACAUACAAAACUUUUUUCUUUUUUUAAUUCAAAACAUGCAGAAAGUUGUGUGUGGUGGGUAGGUUUAGGGCUAGGGGAGGGGGGAUGUACAAUAAAUGGGGAAGGGGGGUAAUAAUAAAUGAUGUUUUUGGAAAAUGUAAAUUGUAGAAAGUUUUCUGUGAUGGGUAGGUUUAAUGUUGAGGGAUAGGUUAUGCAGUUUGUACAGUAUAAAAACCAUUAUGUCUCUGCAUGGUCCCCAUAAAACAUGAAAACACAGCAUGUAUGUGUGUCUGUACUGUAGAGCAGAAACACAGAUAUGCACUUUUACAGCUCUUACAGUCAGUUAUGCUGUACAUGUACUGUAAGUAAAGUGUCUGAUUGAGAAAUGUGUACAACAUAGUUAAAAUUAGUGAACUAUGGUCUUGGAACAUAUAUUUAGUAGAGUGACAUUUUGAGCUGCUGUAUGUUAAAAUCUUUGCCAUGGUUUCAAGCAGAACAUAUUCCACUGUCCAUGUUUUGUUGAACUUGUGACAAUAUCCCAAGGACAAGUUAGUCCUAAUGCUACCCUAAACCUAACCCAACCCAUUAUCCUUAAAGUAAAUGAUAACCGGCACAAAACCCUGGUUGUAUGCAUAAACUUGACAUAAACUGUAAACUUGUCACUCAAAUAUGAUUGGUUGAAUGAAAUGCAGGAUUAACAAUGUAAGCAGGCAGUGUCAUUUUAUAAACUGCUUCAAGUGACCCUGAUAUUGUAAUAAGUACAUAAAUGAAUGAAUGAAUAAACUAAUAAAUAAAACAUUACAAAACAAACAUUAAUAAAAAUAUUUAUUUUGUCUUACAUUUUAACUGAAUAUUGACAUUUACAUUUAUAAAUGACUUUUUUAUUAAUAAAAAUAGCCUGUCAUAUUAUUAAUUGAUAAAUUAAAUUAUGAAUGGGUAAAUCAGCACAGCAUAAAACUGCAAUGAGAACAUUGUUUUUUGAUUUGAUUUGAUAUUAGGCUAUUAACUUUUCAAACAUUUUUUAUUUUUAUUUUAUUAUUAUUAUCAUGUUAUAGGCUUCAGCUAACUUUAUUAGACAUCAUUAUUUAAUAGAAUUCAAACUGGUUCGAAUUCCUAUUUCCGGCCCUUUAAAUUUAAAAGUAGGCGCGCGGAAAAGGCGCCUAAACAGCAGAGAGGAUCGGCUGGAGAAUUGACGGUUGAAAACUGCACAAAGUAAAGUCAAGAUCCUCCUGCUGUAAAAACCAGCAUUGACCAGCAUGAAUUCCCUUUCACUCACUGUUUCCCAACCUGCAGUCGGUUCAGCACGAAACAUCAGGCUCACAGCAACAGAUUAAGAAGAAUCCUGCAUCAAAAGAUGACUUCAACUUGCAUGUGAGACAGAGUGAGAAGAGAAAAAGAGGAAUGAAGAUGGACUGUCUAAGAAACCUGUUUUGUUCAUAACGGAACUUGCAUCUAUCUCCCACGAAUGUAGAAUGCUGAAGGCGAGCAGAAAUGAGAAAAGUUAUGCUACAGCUCUCUGUUUGCAGCACGUCAGUCACGCUCGUCGGGAAAGUGAGUGAAACACACACACAAACACACAUUUUUAUCAAAUAAUACGGCAUUAAUAGCGGUUCACUUCCACAACUUGGAGCGUUUGCAUUUAUAUCAGAAGCGAACUGUACCUGAGUUCACUUGAACCGCACCCCAGACCACCCUUUUUAAGCGGACUCGGGUACGGUUCGUGGGUGUCCGCAGUUACACACAGCACACAGUUACUCCUCGUGUUUGCUGGAUAAUGAUAUAAUGAUAUUAUAUUUAAUCCUCCAAAAUCACUGUGCAAUAAUGAGUGUGUUAAGUGAAUAAAUGUAAACUCUAUGAAUGAAAUGAGCGCAAAUCAAAUAGCUGUAUUGCUGUUGCCUCUCCAUGUGCCACAAAUCAGCUUGGAAAGAAUAAAUCAACUGAAAUACUUAGUGCUUUUUCCAGUUUAACGCAUUAAAAUAUUUAACACAGUUAAUGCAGCAUACGUUUUUUUUGUUUUGUUUGUUUCAUCCUUUGGCUAGCAUUACAAUAUAUGAUUACGCUCUUAUUUCUGCGAAUGCUUUUAAACCAUUUAAGCGCACCAAAAGAGAAAAAGAGAACGCACUGUCUGUGAAUGUCCUGUCACACACACAACGCACAGAAAGACAUGCACCAGUAUAGUGAGCAUGGACGGCCCACCAGUAUCGAGUUCUCUGUCAUGCUUGAAGAAACAAUAACACACACGAUAAUGUCAAAAAUGUCAGUUUUGUUAAAUAUCACCAAUGGAGCAGCCUUAAAUGAGUUAAAGUCCCCAUGAACCGGAAGUGCAAACGUCUUUUCUCCAGUGUUGUGACAUAUUUCCAAGCGAAACAGAAUAUUGAAUAGAGGGCAGAGUUUUAAUUUAACGCUCCUCCUCUCCGUCUCUCGCUCAUAGCAGACUGAGGGUUGGGGGGGGAGUGGUUUUAUUUUAUCAGAGAAGGAACACCAUUUCAGACCAGAAGUAACAUUUCAGAUUUUGAUUAAAGAUUACCACGACAAACAAUUUUUUUCGGUGUAUUAACUUGCACGGAUUAAUUGUUCACCACAAGACUAGUAAUAUGCACUAACAAAGUAAGUAAGGUCAAUUUUGAUUUUAUGACGUCUUGAAAUGAAGUCUUAAUUGAAAAGUAAAUGAGUUGUGAGAAAGUGGACAUCAGUAGCUGUAUUAAGACCCGGGUAUACUUCACUUUCCGCGGCCAGACGCAUCUCACGUGCAGUCUUGUCUGCGCAUCUUUCAAAGUAUACUCAACUACAGAUGUGCGUGGAUGACCGAGUUCAACACAUGCAGUACAAUUUAAUUCACGAAUCGUGCCAUCAACGGGACUUCGCUGGGUAGGAUCAGAGAAUAAAAAUAGUGCAUCCACCAUCCACCACACAGUCUUGAAAUUUGGCCUGCACACGGACGAUGUAUGCAGACGUCCGUGAGCCCUCCAGAUGACGAACAUUACGUCAUGCAGACAGUGCACGAAUGUGGCUUUAGUUUCAGUGAGACUGUCCUUAUUUCAUAAAAACAUGCCAUUAAAAAGUAUUUAAAAUAUACUCUUUAUGUUGUUUCUUUAUGUUGUUUUUAUUUUAGAGAUUAACUGUGACAUUAUUACAUAAUAAUAUGUAUUAUUAAAAACUUGACUAUAACAUUACAUUUAGAUCUAUUGCAUUAUAUUUAGAUAGUGGCAUGAAAGGUUGCAACUUUGAAUGAGCAUUGUAGCUGAUCACAGUCAUGUUGAGUGUAUGUAAGCAGUGAUCUC